ensembl:snRNA U6 U6 spliceosomal RNA
UUGUUUUGGAACCAUAUACACUAAAACUGAUGUGAUACAGUGAAGAUUAGCAUGGGCCCUGUGUGAGGAUGACACACACAUUGUGAAACAUUCCAUAAUUGU